rnacentral:sRNA from 1 species
GUAACGAGACGUCCGGGACAAAUUCCCGUGAGGAAAAGUUUCGGGAAACUGAAGCUACCGGAUUGUCUGACC